rnacentral:rRNA from 1 species
UACGUAGGGUGCAGGCGUUAAUCGGAAUUACUGGGCGUAAAGCGUGCGCAGGCGGUUUGCUAAGACAGGUGUGAAAUCCCCGGGCUUAACCUGGGAACUGCGCUUGUUACUGGCAGGCUAGAGUGCGGUAGAGGGUAGUGGAAUUCCCGGUGUAGCAGUGAAAUGCGUAGAGAUCGGGAGGAACACCAGUGGCGAAGGCGACUACCUGGACCAGCACUGACACUGAGGCACGAAAGCGUGGGGAGCAAACAGG